rnacentral:rRNA from 1 species
UACGGAAGGUGCGAGCGUUGUUCGGAUUGAUUGGGCGUAAAGCGCACGUAGGCGGGUUUGUAUGUCGGAUGUGAAAUCCCCGGGCUUAACCCGGGAGCGCCAUCCGAAACUGCAGAUCUUGAAUAUCUGAGGGGUCGGUGGAAUUCCAGGUGUAGGAGUGAAAUCCGUAGAUAUCUGGAGGAACAUCAGAGGCGAAGGCGGCCGACUGGCAGAAUAUUGACGCUAAGGUGCGAAAGCGUGGGGAGCAAACAGG